rnacentral:tRNA from 2 species
GCGGGUGUAGCUCAGUUGAUAGAGCGCUUCCUUGCCAAGGAAGAGGCCACGAGUUUGAGUCUCGUCACCCGCACCA